AACUCGACUACAUGAAGCUGGAAUCGCUAGUAAUCGUAGAUCAGCAUGCUACGGUGAAUACGUUCCCGGGUCUUGUACACACCGCCCGUCACACCACGAGAGUUUGUAACACCCGAAGCCGGUGGAGUAACCUUUUAGGAGCUAGCCGUCGAAGGUGGGACAAAUGAUUGGGGUGAAGUCGUAACAAGGUAGCCGUAUCGGAAGGUGC
rnacentral:rRNA from 1 species